UAAAUUUCUGUGGAACUUGUUCAGUUUGUCUCAGUUGUUGAAUCUUGUUAUGUUCAUACAAAUAUUUACACAUGUUAGGUUUACUCAAAAUGAACGCAGUUGACAGUUAGAGGACUUUCCUUUUUUUUGCCGAGUUUAUUAUGGGUUGAAAAUACAAGGUAUUAACAAAAUGUCCUCAUUAGGGAAAUGAGCGCAAUAUUCAAUAUGGCAAAAUAAUGAAACAUGUAAAUUUAAGAUGAUUGUGUCAAACUAUUGCAACAAUGACAUCUAUUUCUCACUAAUUUAAUGAUUUAGUGUUAAAAAAAAUGCUCUCAAACAAUUACACCGGGCGUUCUAGACUAAAGCCUCUGUCUGUGCAGUAGACGGAAUGUUUGCUGUCCCUACUAGUAGUAGUUGCCAGUUGUAUCUAAUUCUGUGUUAUGAAUGGUAACUAGGUCUAAUGUUCUUAGUCUACCACUAAUAGAAGACCCCUCACUGUUCGCAGAUAAAGGUCUUGGUCGGCAGAAGAAUGGUAUGUGAUGCUAUCAUAGUGAAUGUGGCAAGGGAGGGGGGGGGACAUCUUCUAGACUGGAAGUGGAAUUUGGAGAGAAUGGUGUGCAGGUGAAGAAGUUGGUUGAGGAGGAAGAGGAAGGAAUGAUUUCCAACCAGCAGCCAACGAAAGCCAUGCUGGGAAGAGAAACUUUAUGGAUGCUUUGUGAAGUCUGCCACCCUCCUGGCAGGACUGGAGCAGCCAGAGUAGAAGUCUUCCAGUACAGAUGACAGCAGCAGCUCUGACGAUGAGGACCAGAGACUGGAACUCUCCAGCACCACCAAGCUUGUGGAGGACGCACCGCUCACAAGUAAGUAUUUUGCUUGUCACCAAUAAGUUUGUAAUAAACCAUAAACAAAUCACA